GUCUAUAGCCAUACCACCCUGAAUGUGCCCAAUCUCAUCUGAUCUCAGGAGCUAAGCAGGGUUGGGCCUGGUUAGGACUUGGAUUAGAGAAAUGGGACAAAGACU
rnacentral:rRNA from 1 species